rnacentral:rRNA from 1 species
CAGUAGCCGCGGUAAUACGAAGGGGGCUAGCGUUGUUCGGAAUUACUGGGCGUAAAGCGCACGUAGGCGGACUUUUAAGUCAGGGGUGAAAUCCCGGGGCUCAACCUCGGAACUGCCUUUGAUACUGGAAGUCUUGAGUGUGGAAGAGGUAAGUGGAAUUGCGAGUGUAGAGGUGAAAUUCGUAGAUAUUCGCAGGAACACCAGUGGCGAAGGCGGCUUACUGGUCCACAACUGACGCUGAGGUGCGAAAGCGUGGGGAGCAAACAGGAUUAGAUACCCCAGUAGUCCCUGUCUCUUAUAC